rnacentral:lncRNA from 1 species
UGUGGUGGCUAAUUUAUAUAGAGUGGUCAGUGAAAGUCACACUGAGGACAUAGCUGUGGCAGAUAGCAUUACCCAGAAUUAUCCAGAAGAGCAAUCUUUCCAUUUCCGUAUGAACCCUGACACCCCUCUUCAAGUGGUAGAGUCCACGAUUCCUCCACUUGAACUUGGACAGGCCUUUUGACUUGCUGAACUAAUAAAGUACAACAGAAGUGAUGCUAUGUGACUUCUGAGGUCAUGAGAGACAAUAUAGUUCCUGCCUGAGUCUUUUGGGGCACUUUUCUAGAACCCAAGCUACAGAAACAACCAAGGCUCCCAUGCUUCUACCCUGGCUUACCUCAUGGACCACUGCCAGCACCAACAUGCCAGCCAGGUGAGUGAGCCACCUUAGAAGCAGAUCCCCACUCUUGGGUGAUUUGCCCCAGCUGAUGCUGCAUGGAGCAAAAAUGCAUCUUUCCCAUCAAGCCCUGCCCAAAUUACAGCUAUACAAACAAAAUGAAUAACUGCUGUUUUGAAGCCACUGAAUUUUGGAAGGUUUCAUUAUGGAGCAACAGUACUGAGCUGAGGCCUAAAUACUAAAGAGCCAGCCAUGAGGAAAUCUUCAUGGAGCAUUUUAAGCAUUGCCAGCAACAAAUCCUGUGGCGCUGAGACAGGAACAAGCUUGGCACACUGAAGGAACAGACAAGACCACACGGCUGAGGGAGAGAACGGGAGAUGCGUGACUGGAGACAAAGGCUGGAGCCACAGUGUGCAGAGUCUCAGGCACCAUGUGUGCUCGUUCUUGAAGAAGAAGAAGAAGAAGAAGAAGAAGAAGAAGAAGGAGAAGAAGGAGAAGAAGGAGAAGAGGAAGAGGAGGAGGAGGGGGAAAGGGGAUGAAGAAGUUAGAAAUGAAUCAAAAGUUCAAAAGUUCAGUGGGAGCUGCUUUUGGAGUGAUGUGAAAGGGGAUUUGGCUCGUCCUUGAAAGAUGGCUAGGGCUGCUGUGAGGAGGGUAGUCUGUAUCAGGACAAGAGUGAGCAGGGAGACCAGUUAGCAGACACUGCAAUUGCCUAAGAUGAAGACGAUCGCCAGUAAGUGGUGGAGAGAAGAUAGAUUCUGGACAUAUUUUGUAGAGGUGACAGGCCUUGCUGAUAGAAAGGAUGAGGAAUGAGGGAUAGCGAGCAAUAAAGGCAAACUUCUAGCUUUUUCUCUCA